UAUGAUGUAUCUGUGAGUCUGCAAGAAACACAUGUCACCCAGCUCAGCAAGGAAUAAAAGCUUUUUCCUUCACACAACUCAAAGCCUGAGGACAGGAAAGACCAUCUUCCACUACCGCUCCAGUGACACAUCAGGCUGCAGAGCCAGAGCACAGAAGACAUGCCUCAGAGGAGACAAGGCUAAAGUUGCCCUGACACUGUGGCACCCCUCCUGCUCUGCAGUCCAGCGUAACUGACCCAGGUGGCCAGGCUGGCCAAAAUGCCAGCGAAAGAGGAGCAUCACAGGGAUGCACAGGAACCAGAUGGAUUUCCUUGUCAUCCUGACUGGUCAUCUCAGCAAGAAGGCCAAGAUUUGAAAGAACCCAGAAGAAUUAAACUGCAGGAAAAAUGAGUAUCACUGGGGGAGGUUUGUAAUUUCCCUUCAAAG